rnacentral:rRNA from 1 species
CCUACGGGGGGCUGCAGUGGGGAAUAUUGCACAAUGGGGGAAACCCUGAUGCAGCGACGCCGCGUGAGUGAAGAAGUAUUUCGGUAUGUAAAGCUCUAUCAGCAGGGAAGAAAAUGACGGUACCUGAUUAAGAAGCCCCGGCUAACUACGUGCCAGCAGCCGCGGUAAUACGUAGGGGGCAAGCGUUAUCCGGAUUUACUGGGUGUAAAGGGGGCGUAGACGGCAGCACAAGUCUGGAGUGAAAUGCCGGGGCUUAACCCCGGAACUGCUUUGGAAACUGUGCAGCUAGAGUGCAGGAGAGGUAGGUGGAAUUCCUAGUGUAGCGGUGAAAUGCGUAGAUAUUAGGAGGAACACCAGUGGCGAAGGCGGCUUACUGGACUGUAACUGACGUUGAGGCUCGAAAGCGUGGGGAGCAAACAGGAUUAGAUACCCUAGUAGUC